AUUUUUCAAUGACCAAUUCGUAAAAGAACUAUCAAAAUUCAAUGUACAAGCUAUGCUUUGGACUACCGUUUUAGCAUAGAUACAAUAGUUUUGUAGUUCAGAAACUGAAAAGAAAUCUUAAGGCGCUUCAGACUUCAUUUGCUCAAGUUGAGUUCGCUGGCUAGGAAGUAAAUAGUACGGUCGAUAAAAUAAGGAAGGCUGUGUCUUA